AAGAAUCUUGACUCAAGAUGACGCGGGGAAAGCAGAAAAUCGAAGCGCAGAAGCGUAACGCUGAGAAGAAUCAGAGAUCCAAAGGCUCUCAGAUUGAAGCCAGAGCCGAAGGUCUCAAAAUCACGUGCCCAAUCUGCAAGGUCCAACUUGCAAAUCCAAACCAACUUAAUGAUCAUUAUGCCUCAAAACAUCCAAAGGAGAAGCCUCCAGGAGAAUCAAGCUAGUACAAGAGUUCCUUAGAGCAAAUAGUACAAAAGUUCCAAAACAAAUUUGCUCUUAGGUCUCAAUGUUUCUGCUUCCAAGCCAGAUUGCAACAUGUUUAGUAUUUUCUUAAAAUGUGCAUUAUUGUAAGAUACUUCUGACAUUGUGAGAAUAUUAUCUGGUUGUAUCAGUGCAUGCCAACUUAGAGUUUCUGCAACAAUACAUAACAUAACAUCCCUUUGCACUGCCUCUUAAGGAACUGCAAAAUGAAAAUAUUAUGGUGAUGCUAAAAAGUGGAAUGUUCAUUUCUUUUGUUGUU